GGAAAAAGCCCCAAGACUUCGAUUAAACAGUUCGUAUACCUAAUAAGCCCGAAUACUUCUCUAACAGUUCGUAAACCUCUGUUUUGAAUGAAUUAGCAGAGAACUGCUAUGACAAAUUCAAAUAAUUAGAGUUCGUGAAAUUCAGCGAAUUAGCGAACGAAGCUGCUCGUCACCUCCAUUGACAACAGCUGCUCAUCUUUGAGGUUUUUCUCAUCACGGUCAGUCGCCUAUUAGACUUGAUUGUUCACAGCCUUUACAGUCACAAGGAGGUUUUCUUGCGAGAGCUUGUUAGAUAAAAAACUUGAAGCCCGAAGAACCUAUCCUUGAAGAAAGUGUAGAGCAAGUUGAAGUACAAGAGGUUUUUGGUUCGUGAUGGUUUAAAAACAGUCUUAUGUACAUAUAUAUGUUACAAUUUUACUUUUUUUUCUUUUUAGGAAUUAUUAAAAAUGAUGAUUAACUCAUCUCAUUUUAUGCUUCCAGUUGUCUCUUGGAUGGGUUUGCGUUAUUUUUACUUUUCAUUGUUUUAGUAAGAUGGGUUUAUUACAAUUUGGAUUGGUUUUCGGUAAAUAUGAUACUUUAGUUCUUUGUAUUAACAAGAUAUGAAGUAUUUGGUUUAUUUUUCAAUGUUGUUGAGCG